rnacentral:tRNA from 1 species
UGUCCAAUGCGGGGAUCGAACCCGGGUCGUUGUGGUCGUAAACCAAACGGUUUAACCAGCCUUCCACCGACCCACCGACCACAC